ACGCUGGCGGCGUGCCUAAUACAUGCAAGUCGAACGAGAGCGACCGGUGCUUGCACUGGUCAAUCUAGUGGCGAACGGGUGAGUAACACGUGGGUAACCUGCCCAUCAGAGGGGGAUAACAUUCGGAAACGGAUGCUAAAACCGCAUAGGUCUUCGAACCGCAUGGUUUGAAGAGGAAAAGAGGCGCAAGCUUCUGCUGAUGGAUGGACCCGCGGUGCAUUAGCUAGUUGGUGAGGUAACGGCUCACCAAGGCCGUGAUGCAUAGCCGACCUGAGAGGGUGGUCGGCCACAUUGGGACUGAGACACGGCCCAAACUCCUACGGGAGGCAGCAGUAGGGAAUCUUCCGCAAUGGACGCAAGUCUGACGGAGCAACGCCGCGUGAGUGAAGAAGGUUUUUCGGAUCGUAAAACUCUGUUGUUAGAGAAGAACAAGUGCUAGAGUAACUGUUAGCGCCUUGACGGUAUCUAACCAGAAAGCCACGGCUAACUACGUGCCAGCAGCCGCGGUAAUACGUAGGUGGCAAGCGUUGUCCGGAUUUAUUGGGCGUAAAGCGAGCGCAGGCGGUUCCUUAAGUCUGAUGUGAAAGCCCCCGGCUCAACCGGGGAGGGUCAUUGGAAACUGGGGAACUUGAGUGCAGAAGAGGAGAGUGGAAUUCCAUGUGUAGCGGUGAAACGCGUAGAUAUAUGGAGGAACACCAGUGGCGAAGGCGACUCUCUGGUCUGUAACUGACGCUGAGGCUCGAAAGCGUGGGUAGCAAACAGGAUUAGAUACCCUGGUAGUCCACGCCGUAAACGAUGAGUGCUAAGUGUUGGAGGGUUUCCGCCCUUCAGUGCUGCAGUUAACGC
rnacentral:rRNA from 1 species